rnacentral:lncRNA from 1 species
GUCAAAUACAGAAUGUGAUGUUCCAUUCCAGCCAAUGGAAACCGGACGCUGCAGUAGGGUGGACACGUCAGGUUAUAAAUGACCCUGUUUCCUUUGUUUAGUGUACUCUAGUGGCAAAACUGCUGGCUAGUGUACCUGUUCUGCCAAAAGUAAAAUGGGCUUACUGAGGAAAUUAAAUUUAUGUUCAAGUGCUAUUUCUUUAUGCACCGGGGAACAAGCAUUUCUAACAACCUGGUCCUACGUGGCUGAAACUGGAUCCCAGAAGCCCCGUCCUUCCCGAAGCUCGUAGCGGAAGUGACAUCAGCCCGCCGCCACUAUCUUUUCCCGCGCUGGCUGCCCACGGUCAGUGCUGUUUCACCUUUAUCUUGGUGGAGUCGACCCCGGCUGUGGACUUCAAAUAACCCUGUACAAAGAGGAAUGGAGAUUGCCUCUAUUCACCUAGAUUCAUAAGUUGCCCUGAGGCAAUCUUGGCAUCAAGGAAGAGAGCAUUGAGGCACAACUGACCAUCAGCUUCAGAGAAUGGCAGUCACUGAUUUGUCCCAUGCAGACAAGAAGCUACAGUGGAUGGAAACUCUGAGAAUUGUGGAGAGGUCUUCAGUGAAUGGUUUUGCCUUAAAACACACAUGAGAGCUCAGAAUGGAGGGAACAUCUUUGAGGGUAAUUGUUAUGGAAAAGACAUCCUCAGUGUGCACAAGGAAGCCUCUAUUGGACAGGAACUUUCCAAAUUUAAUCCAUGUGGAAAAGUCUUCACCUUAACUCCAGAUCUUGCUGCACAUCUUGGAAUUCUCAAUGCAAGACAACCAUACAAAUGUAAGGAAUGUAGAAAAGGCUUUAAGUAUUUUGCAAGCCUUGAUAAUCACAUGGGAAUCCACAUUGGAGAGAAAUUCUGUGAAUUUCAGGAAUGUAGGAGAGCCAUCACUCAUUCCUCACACCUAAAGCAGUGUGUAACAGUUCAUACUGGAAAGAAAUCUAAAAAGACUAAGAAACAUGGGAAAUCCUUCACUAAUUUUUCUCAACUUUCUGCACAUGUGAAAAUUCAUAAAGGAGAGAAGUCCUUUGAAUGUAAAGAAUGUGGAAGAUCCUUUAGAAAUUCCUCAUCCUUUAAUGUUCACAUUCAAAUUCACACUGGAAUAAAACCACACAAAUAUACGGAAUGUGGGAAAGCCUUCACUAGGUCAACUCACCUUACUCAACAUGUAAGAACUCACACUGGAAUAAAACCCUAUGAAUGUAAGGAAUGUGGCCAAGCCUUCACUCAGUACACGGGCCUUGCUAUACACAUACGAAAUCACACUGGAGAGAAACACUAUCAGUGUAAGGAAUGUGGGAAAGCCUUCAAUGGAUCCUCAACCCUUACUCAACAUAAAAUAAUUCACACAGGAGAGAAGCCUUAUGGAUGUGUUGAAUGUGGGAAGACCUUCAUUACUUCUUCCUAUCGUAGUAAACAUUUGAAAACUCACCAUGAAGAAAGGCCCUUUGUAUGCAAGAUAUGUGGGAAAGCAUUUCUAUAUUCCUCACCCCUUAAUGUUCACCUGCAAACUCAUACCAGAGAGAAAGCCCUCAUAUGUAAAGAAUGUGGGAAAGCUUUUGCUGUUUCCUCACACCUAAGUAGACAUGAAAGAAUUCACACUGGGGAGGAACCCUAUGAAUAUAAGGGUAUGAAUGUUACCAUUUAGCUCAUUGGUUGCCAUCUUUAAUUAGUGGCAGUGACACUAAAGAUAUUCAGAUUUGUCCUAAAUGCCUUUUGGAGGUUGUAAUGGCUCAUGAAUUGGCCUUGGGUGCCAUCACAAGGGUCUGAAAUUAAACCUACAGGUUCUGAAUACAACAUCAUGGUUGCCUGAGUCUGGGCAUCUGUGAAGAAGGGUAAUGGAUGGUGAGGUCAGUACUGCA